GAUGAACGCUGGCGGCGUGCCUAAUACAUGCAAGUCGAACGCACAGCGAAAGGUGCUUGCACCUUUCAAGUGAGUGGCGAACGGGUGAGUAACACGUGGAUAACCUACCUCAAGGUUGGGGAUAACAUUUGGAAACAGAUGCUAAUACCGAAUAAAACUUCGUAUCGCAUGAUACAAGGUUAAAAGGCGCUACGGCGUCACCUAGAGAUGGAUCCGCGGUGCAUUAGUUAGUUGGUGGGGUAAAGGCCUACCAAGACAAUGAUGCAUAGCCGAGUUGAGAGACUGAUCGGCCACAUUGGGACUGAGACACGGCCCAAACUCCUACGGGAGGCUGCAGCAGGGAAUCUUCCACAAUGGGCGAAAGCCUGAUGGAGCAACGCCGCGUGUGUGAUGAAGGCUUUCGGGUCGUAAAGCACUGUUGUAUGGGAAGAACAGCUAGAGUAGGGAAUGACUUUAGUUUGACGGUACCAUACCAGAAAGGGACGGCUAAAUACGUGCCAGCAGCCGCGGUAAUACGUAUGUCCCGAGCGUUAUCCGGAUUUAUUGGGCGUAAAGCGAGCGCAGACGGUUGAUUAAGUCUGAUGUGAAAGCCCGGAGCUCAACUCCGGAAAGGCAUUGGAAACUGGUCAACUUGAGUGCAGUAGAGGUAAGUGGAACUCCAUGUGUAGCGGUGGAAUGCGUAGAUAUAUGGAAGAACACCAGCGGCGAAGGCGGCUUACUGGACUGUAACUGACGUUGAGGCUCGAAAGUGUGGGUAGCAAACAGGAUUAGAUACCCUGGUAGUCCACACCGUAAACGAUGAACACUAGGUGUUAGGA
rnacentral:rRNA from 1 species